UGAAGAUGGCACAAAUAACAUCAGAGAGCAAAUCCCAAGUCAGUUGUCCCUACAUUCCAGUACAGAAGCUACAGUUAAACCUCUCCUGCUGCACUUCAAAACCAGUUUGUGUUCUUUUCUUUGCUGGUUCCUUAUGGGCACUGUAGGUAAGUGACUGCUUUUCAGCUUUGAACUAAUUAUCAUUCCUGAAAGUGUUUUCCAAACCGCAACUGCUUUAUGGGCCUGCUUCUGUUCAUAGGGAAGUCCUGGAGUUCUGCUGGUGAUUUCAAGGGGAGCAGGAGCAGUCCUAAUGAAGUAGUCCUAUAAAAGUAAAAAGGGGGAAGGAAGAGGAGAGCGGGGAGAAGCAGACAGCCAGACCACAUCGAUCCGGGCUGCGGGAUGUGUUUAGUGGGAAAUCUAUAGAGCUCAGCUUAGGGUGUCAGCUGUCAGUCUGCAGAGCAUCUGUCAGAGGAGUAUUUGCUUCGCUGCCGCUGAAUAAUCCAGCUGAAAUGACCAGGAAGUAUCUUCUGCUUGCAGAACCCACUGUGUGACCAUAAUGUAGACUGGAAAGAGGGGCAGCACCUCAAAGGCCAAGAGCUGCAGUCCCAAUUCAAGCUGAUGUUGCAAAGAAUGUCUCAAAGACUUAUAUGUCUGCAGACUCUUGGGCAAAACUCUAUACACAUGUGUGCUGUGGAAGAUCAGUAAUACAAAAAGAUAUCUGGUUUAAUAAAUGCCACUGCAGCAGAUGUCAGGACAAGGUCUGUUACUAUCAUUUUGCUGUGUUAACUGGAAUAGGGCGUUUAGGUGUGUUUCCAUGGGUAUUCAGGAGGAUUUGCUAUUGCUCUUUAAGUAUGCAUAUAAUUUAUGCUGGUACACAAGUACUCUACCUUGGCUAAUUAAUGAGGGUCAAACCCAUUACAAGUUCACACCGUUGACCUUUG
rnacentral:lncRNA from 14 species